AUUGAACGCUGGCGGCGUGCUUAACACAUGCAAGUCGAUCGGUAACGCGGGGGCAACCCUGGCGACGAGAGGCGGACGGGUGAGGAACGCUUGGGAAUCUGCCUAUCAGCGGGGGACAACACGGGGAAACUCGUGCUAAUACCGCAUACGCUCUACGGAGGAAAGCCGGGGACCGAAAGGCCAGGCCCUGAUAGAUGAGCCCAAGCCGGAUUAGCUAGUUGGCGGGGUAACGGCCCACAAAGGCGACGAACCGUAGCUGGGCUGAGAGGACGAUCAGCCACACUGGGACUGAGACACGGCCCAGACUCCUACGGGAGGCAGCAGUGGGGAAUAUUGGACAAUGGGGGAAACCCUGAUCCAGCGACGCCGCGUGGGUGAAGAAGGCCUGCGGGUUGUAAAGCCCUUUCGGUAGGGACGAAAGCUCUCGACCUAACACGUCGGGAGGUUGACUUAACCUACAAAAGAAGCACCGGCUAACUCUGUGCCAGCCGCCGCAGUAACAC
rnacentral:rRNA from 1 species